rnacentral:rRNA from 1 species
UACGUAGGGUGCGAGCGUUAAUCGGAAUUACUGGGCGUAAAGCGUGCGCAGGCGGUUUUGUAAGUCUGACGUGAAAUCCCCGGGCUUAACCUGGGAAUUGCGUUGGAGACUGCAAGGCUGGAGUCUGGCAGAGGGGGGUAGAAUUCCACGUGUAGCAGUGAAAUGCGUAGAGAUGUGGAGGAACACCGGUGGCGAAGGCAGCCCCCUGGGUCAAGACUGACGCUCAUGCACGAAAGCGUGGGGAGCAAACAGG